rnacentral:rRNA from 1 species
GGCCCGCAAGGGCCACUGGAUGAGGGGCCUGCGUAGCAUCAGCUAGUUGGUGGGGUAAUGGCCUACCAAGGCGAAGACGCUUAGCUGGUCUGAGAGGAUGAUCAGCCACACUGGGACUGAGACACGGCCCAGACUCCUACGGGAGGCAGCAGUGGGGAAUAUUGGACAAUGGGCGCAAGCCUGAUCCAGCCACGCCGCGUGAGUGAUGAAGGCCUUCGGGUCGUAAAGCUCUGUGGGGAGGGACGAACGGCGCCAUGAAGAGUGGCGAUUGACGGUACCUCCUUAGCAAGCACCGGCUAACUUCGUGCCAGCAGCCGCGGUAAUACGAAGGGUGCAAACGUUGCUCGGAAUCAUUGGGCGUAAAGCGCACGUAGGCGGCUUUCUAAGUCGGAUGUGAAAUCCCUCGGCUUAACCGAGGACGUGCAUCCGAAACUGGGAGGCUUGAGUAUGGAAGAGGGUCGCAGAAUUCCCGGUGUAGAGGUGAAAUUCGUAGAUAUCGGGAG